rnacentral:lncRNA from 10 species
UGGGCAUCAUCAUGACAGCAGGUUUGGAAUAGUUCACCAGUGAAGUCAUCUCAACCAGCACAGGGCCUUGACUCCUAACAACAAUCACACGAACUUGGAAGAGGAUCCUUCCCCAGCUGAAACUUCACUUGAGACCUUCUCAUUGGCCAUCAUCGACAUCUGGAUUCAUGAUACAGAGAAACUUGAGUAAUGAUGACAAUAGCAGUCCAGCCUGCAUGGAUGCUGACAUGGAUGCUGUCUCCCAUUCUUACCACUGGAUGUCAAGAACUGCUAGAUGCGAUCCAGCCAGUCUGUACUCGACUCUCAGUUCCAUCUUCUCAACUCACAGUGUCUUCCAAAGUCCAUGCCACACCACAGCCUGGAAGAUCUCCCAAGGUGGUAUCUUGAGGCAAUGGUAGAGCUCAUGUCACAGUAUUGUAUGCCUCAGGCUUUGAAUAACUCACCAGUGAAGUCAUCUUGACCUGGACAGAAAUUGAAUCCUCCCAAGAAUCCCAGGAGCUUGGAAGGGGAUCCUUCCCCAGAUGAGCCUUCCCUUGAAAUCUCUGCCAGGCAUCUGACCCAGAGAAACU